UGUCUUUUGCGAGAUGUUCUGUAAAAAUUGGAAAUAUAAAUAGAAGAUUAGCAUUGUCCCUUUGGCUGAUGACACUCACAAAUUGAGAAAUUUAGAGUAGCCUU